UGUCUUUAGCAACCAGUCCAUCUCAGAUUACUCUUUAUAUUAAAGGGGUUAUCUGAUAUUAAAAAACAAAACAAAUUUUUUACAUCUUAUUCUACCCCUAAUCCCAUUCUAAGCUGCGCCAAAUACCCUCUUUCUUCAUUUUUGCCAUCCUCACUCCUUUCCAGCCCUCAUUACUGCGGGCCCAGAUAUUUACAGCACAAACCUAAUAGUUUCUGACACCUCUACUGACCUCUGCUUCAGGGCUACUGCGCAUGCGCCGGGUAAUCACUGCUCUUGUUACUGCUUCUUCAAAGCUUCAGUGCAAUGUACUUGACAUCCGUAAUGAGACCCAUACAUUGCAGGACCAGAACACAGUCAUUUGUAUACAGACCAGAACGUCAGAGGAAGUGCUGAGAAAGAGAAUGGGGCCGCCAUGUAACUGCUGCCUGGAUGGAGGAAUCGGUGGCGCUUCACACAGGGAUCAAAAUUAAAUGUUGUGGGUGGAAAUGAAAAUAGUUUGACGGAAAUGAAUCAUAGAAGCUGGAGGCCUGAGGGAUCACACAGAUGCCAGCAUUUGAUAACCAUUCAUGUGAGAAGAUGCCUUUUUUUCUGAAUGGAUACGUCUGACUCUUAACUCUUCACCCUGGAGAGGCUUGUGAACCUGCAGACAUACAGUACAAGGUCGAAUGCUGGCUGCGCUUCAGGUCCUCUUUAGGCCAACAAAAUCCGCACCAGAGACGAGAUGCGGCUGAAAUAAUUUGUCAUGGUGGUCUGGGUCAAACGGAG